rnacentral:lncRNA from 1 species
AUUCUCUUACUAGGUCAAGCAAAGAGCAAAGCAACAACAAUAAAAGCCCCAUCCAUUCCACAAUUCUACUUGCACAACAAAACCCUACGAAAACCAAUGGCUGUUUCCAUUCGUACACAGUUGAUUUAGUUUGGGAAGAAAGAAGUCAUGUUUUGUUCUUGGUGCUGUGAUCAAGAAACUGAUAAGAAUGGGUGGUAUCGGAAAAAAUUAAAUUACCAACGGCCUUGUCCAAACCGCUGAAUAUGCUGCUGCUCAUAGAGCAUUUUUACAAAGCCGAAUCUGGGGGAUUUCUAAAUAGUGUGAUGCAUGUGUUUCAGUCACCACUAAUUUUAUAGGACUAAUGGGCAGAUCUGUGAGGGAAUCUCAGCAGCGGAACUUCUGUGGGCAGAUAUAGGAAACACCAGUGUCAAAAUCCGAAAAGGUUUUAAAGGAACUAAUUUCAGUCUACAAAUUGCAUAGUUCUGAUGAAGACGAUGAGAAUGACUAGUGUAGGCACCAAUUUGGCAAUUGGUAAAAGAAUGAUUGAUUGACUAUAUAUUUCUUUGUUCUUAUUUGAAUCAAGUAUCAGUUUGUUCAAUUUCUUUGUUAUCAGUUUGUUCAAAUUUUUUGGUGACUCCUGAAUGACUCAAAGUGAACUUGACAGAUCAAAGCAUGAUUUGCGUAGCAAGAUCUGAUGAACUAAUAAGAUUAUUAAUUACCACACUUUCUUUUAUGGUUUUUUUCGUUCUCUUUCCAAGAAAUUUCAAGAUCAUUCACAGUUACACACCUU